CCUACGGGAGACAGCAGUGGGGAAUAUUGCACAAUGGGGGAAACCCUGAUGCAGCGACGCCGCGUGAGUGAUGAAGUAUUUAGGUGUGUAAAGCCCUAUCUGCCGGGAAGAAAAUGACGGUACCUGAUUAAGAAGCACCGGCUAACUACGUGACAGAAGCCGCGGUAAUACGUAGGGGGCCAGCGUUAUCCGGAUUUACUGGGGUUAAAGGGAGCGUAGACGGAAGCAACAGUCUGGAGUUAAAUGCCGGGGCUUAACCCCGGAACUGCCUUGGAAACUGUGCUGCUAGAGUGCAGGAGAGGUAAGUGGAAUUCGUAGUGUAGCGGUGAAAUGCGUAGAGAUUAGGAGGAACACCAGUUGCGAAGGCGGCGUACUGG
rnacentral:rRNA from 1 species